AUUACAAAUUAGCAAACUCAAUGAAAGUUGAGGACGCAAAGUUGUGAGUCUAGGAUAUUGUACAUUUCUUGUUUAAACCGCUGAAUAUCCAAUAUUAUGACUGUCUAACUGCAUUG
rnacentral:ncRNA from 1 species